GACGAACGCUGGCGGCGUGCUUAACACAUGCAAGUCGAACGGUGAAGCGCCUUCCUUUUUGGUGGGUGUGGAUGAGUGGCGAACGGGUGAGUAACACGUGAGUAACCUGCCCCCUUCUUCUGGAUAACCGCAUGAAAGUGUGGCUAAUACGGGAUAUUCUGGGUCUGUCGCAUGAUGGGUCUGGGAAAGAUAUUGUUUCGGUGGGGGAUGGGCUCGCGGCCUAUCAGCUUGUUGGUGGGGUGAUGGCCUACCAAGGCGGUGACGGGUAGCCGGCCUGGGAGGGUGGACGGUCACACUGGGACUGAGACACGGCCCAGACUCCUACGGGAGGCAGCAGUGGGGAAUAGUGCACAAUGGGCGCAAGCCUGAUGCAGCGACGCCGCGGGAGGGAUGGAGGCCUUCGGGUUGUGAACCUCUUUCGCCAGUGAAGCAGGCCUGCCUCGUUUGUGGGUGGGUUGACGGUAGCUGGAUAAGAAGCGCCGGCUAACUACGUG
rnacentral:rRNA from 1 species